rnacentral:rRNA from 1 species
GUGGGGAAUAUUAGGCAAUGGGCGAAAGCCUGACCUAGCAACGCCGCGUGAAGGAAGAAGGCCUUCGGGUUGUAAACUUCUUUUAUGAGGGACGAAGGACGUGACGGUACCUCAUGAAUAAGCCACGGCUAACUACGUGCCAGCAGCCGCGGUAAUACGUAGGUGGCGAGCGUUGUCCGGAUUUACUGGGUGUAAAGGGCGCGUAGGCGGACUGGCAAGUCAGAUGUGAAAUACAGGGGCUCAACCCCUGAACUGCAUUUGAAACUGUUGGUCUUGAGUAUCGGAGAGGCAAGCGGAAUUCCUAGUGUAGCGGUGAAAUGCGUAGAUAUUAGGAGGAACACCAGUGGCGAAGGCGGCGUGCUGGACGACAACUGACGCUGAGGCGCGAAAGCGUGGGGAGCAAACAGGAUUAGAAACCCGGGUAGUCC